rnacentral:rRNA from 1 species
ACGGAGGGGGCUAGCGUUGUUCGGAAUUACUGGGCGUAAAGCGCACGUAGGCGGCUUUGUAAGUCAGAGGUGAAAGCCCGGAGCUCAACUUCGGAAUUGCCUUUGAGACUGCAUCGCUUGAAUCCGGGAGAGGUGAGUGGAAUUCCGAGUGUAGAGGUGAAAUUCGUAGAUAUUCGGAAGAACACCAGUGGCGAAGGCGGCUCACUGGACCGGUAUUGACGCUGAGGUGCGAAAGCGUGGGGAGCAAACAGGA